rnacentral:sRNA from 1 species
CUGCUCCACGAUUUCGCGGAAGCUCCUGCCGCGAAGCGUAUUCGGCU